UNUGACUUGAGUGCAGAAGGGGAGAGUGGAAUUCCAUGUGUAGCGGUGAAAUGCGUAGAUAUAUGGAGGAACACCAGUGGCGAAAGCGGCUCUCUGGUCUGUCACUGACGCUGAGGCUCGAAAGCGUGGGUAGCGAACAGGAUUAGAUACCCUGAUAGUNCACGCCGUAAACGAUGAGUGCUAGGUGUUAGGCCCUUUCCGGGGCUUAGUGCCGGAGCUAACGCAAUAAGCACUCCGCCUGGGGAGUACGACCGCAAGGUUGAAGCUCAAAGGAAUUGACGGGGGCCCGCACAAGCGGUGGAGCAUGUGGUUUAAUUCGAAGCAACGCGAAGAACCUUACCAGGUCUUGACAUCCCGAUGCUAUUCUUAGAGAUAGGAAGUUACUUCGGUACAUCGGAGACAGGUGGUGCAUGGUUGUCGUCAGCUCGUGUCGUGAGAUGUUGGGUUAAGUCCCGCAACGAGCGCAACCCUUAUUGUUAGUUGCCAUCAUUAAGUUGGGCACUCUAGCGAGACUGCCGGUAAUAAACCGGAGGAAGGUGGGGAUGACGUCAAAUCAUCAUGCCCCUUAUGACCUGGGCUACACACGUGCUACAAUGGUCGGUACAACGAGUUGCGAGCCGGUGACGGCAAGCUAAUCUCUGAAAGCCGAUCUCAGUUCGGAUUGGAGGCUGCAACUCGCCUCCAUGAAGUCGGAAUCGCUAGUAAUCGCGGAUCAGCACGCCGCGGUGAAUACGUUCCCGGGCCUUGUACACACCGCCCGUCACACCACGAGAGUUUGUAACACCCGAAGUCGGUGAGGUAACCUUUUAGGGNCCA
rnacentral:rRNA from 1 species